rnacentral:rRNA from 1 species
AACGAACGCUGGCGGCAUGCCUAACACAUGCAAGUCGAACGAGACCUUCGGGUCUAGUGGCGCACGGGUGCGUAACGCGUGGGAACCUGCCCUUAGGUUCGGAAUAACUCCCCGAAAGGGGUGCUAAUACCGGAUAAUGUCUUCGGACCAAAGAUUUAUCGCCUUUGGAUGGGCCCGCGUUGGAUUAGCUAGUUGGUAGGGUAAAAGCCUACCAAGGCGACGAUCCAUAGCUGGUCUGAGAGGAUGAUCAGCCACACUGGGACUGAGACACGGCCCAGACUCCUACGGGAGGGAGCAGUGGGGAAUAUAGGAAAAUGGGCGAAAGCCUGAUACAGCAAUGCCGCGUGAGUGAUGAAGGCCUUAGGGUUGUAAAGCUCUUUUACACGGGAUGAUAAUGACAGUACCGGGAGAAUAAGCACCGGCUAACUACGUG